rnacentral:rRNA from 1 species
GACGAACGCUGGCGGCGUGCUUAACACAUGCAAGUCGAACGAAGAGCUAUUGAUGCUUGCUUCUAUCAAACUUAGUGGCGAACGGGUGAGUAACGCGUAAUGAACCUGCCCUUCAGAGGGGGACAACAGUUGGAAACGAUUGCUAAUACCGCAUAACAUCUUAUCCCGGCAUCUAGGAGAUUUAAAAUUUGUCCUCUACAUGUAAUCUAUUACUUUAGGAGGGGAUUGGCUCUGCUUAGGCAGUUGGGGGGGUAAAGGCCCAACAAGGUGAAGAUCAGUAGCCGGACCGGGGGGAUGAAUGGCCCAAAUGGGAAUGGGAACAGGCCCAGAACUCUACGGGGGGCAGCAGUGGGGAAAUUUUCGGCAUGGAGGAAAGUCUGAAGGGGCAAAGCCGGGGGAGUGAUGGAGGCAUUCGGGUUGUAAAGGUCUGUUUGUCGGGAAGAAAGGCCUUCUUGCGAAUAGUGAGAAGGAUUGACGGUACCGGAACAGAAAGCCACGGCUAACUACGUG